UGCCAGCAGCCGCGGUAAUACGGAGGGGGUUAGUGUUGUUCGGAAUUACUGGGCUUAAAGAGUUCGUAGGUGGUUAAAAAAGUUGAUGGUGAAAUCCCAAGGCUCAACCUUGGAACUGCCAUCAAAACUUUUUAGCUAGAGUAUGAUAGAGGAAAGUGGAAUUUCUAGUGUAGAGGUGAAAUUCGUAGAUAUUAGAAAGAACAUCAAAUGCGAAGGCAACUUUCUGGAUCAUUACUGACACUGAGGAACGAAAGCAUGGGUAGCGAAGAGGAUUAGAUA
rnacentral:rRNA from 1 species